GAAUUCGCCCUUAGAGUUUGAUCCUGGCUCAGGAUGAACGCUGGCGGCGUGCUUAACACAUGCAAGUCGAGCGAGAAAAGUUCUUCGGAGCUUUUCUAGUGGCGGACGGGUGAGUAACACGUGGGCAACCUGCCUCAUAGAGGGGAAUAGCCUUCCGAAAGGAAGAUUAAUACCGCAUAACAUUGUUGAAAGGCAUCUUUUAACAAUCAAAGGAGCAAUCCGCUAUGAGAUGGGCCCGCGGCGCAUUAGCUAGUUGGUGAGGUAACGGCUCACCAAGGCGACGAUGCGUAGCCGACCUGAGAGGGUGAUCGGCCACAUUGGAACUGAGACACGGUCCAGACUCCUACGGGAGGCAGCAGUGGGGAAUAUUGCACAAUGGGGGAAACCCUGAUGCAGCAACGCCGCGUGAGUGAUGAAGGUCUUCGGAUUGUAAAGCUCUGUCUUUAGGGACGAUAAUGACGGUACCUAAGGAGGAAGCCACGGCUAACUACGUGCCAGCAGCCGCGGUAAUACGGAGGGUGCAAGCGUUAAUCGGAAUUACUGGGCGUAAAGCGCACGCAGGCGGUUUGUUAAGUCAGAUGUGAAAUCCCCGGGCUCAACCUGGGAACUGCAUCUGAUACUGGCAAGCUUGAGUCUCGUAGAGGGGGGUAGAAUUCCAGGUGUAGCGGUGAAAUGCGUAGAGAUCUGGAGGAAUACCGGUGGCGAAGGCGGCCCCCUGGACGAAGACUGACGCUCAGGUGCGAAAGCGUGGGGAGCAAACAGAAUUAGAUACCCUGGUAGUCCACGCCGUAAACGACCUCGAAAGGGAGGUUGUGCCCUUGAGGCGUGGCUUCAGGAGCUAACGCGUUAAAGUCGACCGCCUGGGGAGAAGGGCCGCAAGGUUAAAACUCAAAUGAAAUGACGGGGGCCCGCACAAGCCGGUGGAGCAAAGUGGUAAAAUUCGAUGCAACGCGAAGAACAGUACCUGGUCUAGACAUCCACGGAAGAUUUCAGAGAUGAGAAUGUGCCUUCGGGAACCGUGAGACAGGUGCUGCAUGACUGUCGUCAGCUCGUGUUGUGAAAUGUUGGGUUAAGUCCCGCAACGAGCGCAACCCUUAUCCUUUGUUGCCAGCGGUCCGGCCGGGAACUCAAAGGAGACUGCCAGUGAUAAACUGGAGGAAGGUGGGGAUGACGUCAAGUCAUCAUGGCCCUUACGACCAGGGCUACACACGUGCUACAAUGGCGCAUACAAAGAGAAGCGACCUCGCGAGAGCAAGCGGACCUCAUAAAGUGCGUCGUAGUCCGGAAAGGAGUCUGCAACUCGACUCCAUGAAGUCGGAAUCGCUAAUAAUCGUGGAUCAGAAUGCCACGGUGAAUACAAACCCGGGCCUUGCACACACCGCCCGUCA
rnacentral:rRNA from 1 species